UACGAAGGGUGCAAGCGUUAAUCGGAAUUACUGGGCGUAAAGCGCGCGUAGGUGGUUCGUUAAGUUAGGAGUGAAAGCCCCGGGCUCAACCUGGGAAUUGCUUCUAAAACUGGCGAGCUAGAGUAUGGUAGAGGGUGGUGGAAUUUCCUGUGUAGCGGUGAAAUGCGUAGAUAUAGGAAGGAACAUCAGUGGCGAAGGCGACCACCUGGACUGAUACUGACACUGAGGUGCGAAAGUGUGGGGAGCAAACAGGAUUAGAUACCCGGGUAGUCCCUGA
rnacentral:rRNA from 1 species